rnacentral:misc_RNA from 1 species
GCUGAGCUUCACUGAAAAUGCAAGAGCCUUACAGUCUUUUAGAGUCACCCAUUGUUGGAGGGAUAGAAAUAGAGCCGCCGACUUUAUUACUUUAUUGCGGGAUGUCGAGUUAUUUCUUUAAUGUUUCCAAGAUACCUCCCUUAGCCCUUAAUAACAUUAUUAGAGAGAAUAUGCAGGAACUGAUUUAUGUACGUGUAUGAUAUAUUAUGUACCCUUUUUUUUUUCAUUAUAAUUUAUUAUUUAAAUAGCUGCAAGACCAAAACAGGGUGCAAAAAACCGAAAGCCCUUCUUUUAAG